GUUGGACCUAACAUCAAUCAGACAUUCGUCUCUGUACUCACUAGUUGUCCAACAACCUCUCCUUUAAAAAUGUUCAAGCUGAUCGUCCUCGCCUGCCUGAUGGCCUUCGCCGCCGCCAAGCCCCAAGUGCUCGCCCCGGUGGCGUACACAGCGGGAUAUACCCCCGUGGCCGCCGCAUACACCGCCCCUCUCGCAUACUCCGCAUACACCGCCCCCGUUGCUGCCUACUCUCCCUACACGUAUGCUUCACCUUAUGCCGCAUACUAUCUGCGUCGCUGAGCUACGAAGGACUAGUCAAUGAUUUAGGCAAAUUACUUAUGGCGAUCAAUAAAGCAAUGUGAACACAAUAAUA